rnacentral:rRNA from 1 species
UUGGAGGGCAAGUCUGGUGCCAGCAGCCGCGGUAAUUCCAGCUCCAAUAGCGUAUAUUAAAGUUGUUGCAGUUAAAAAGCUCGUAGUUGAAUUUCGGGGCUCUACCGUUGGUCGGGCUUUGUCUGUACUGGUGUGUAGAAUUUCUACCUUCUGGGGAACCAUCAUGCUAUUAAUUUAGCGUGGUGGGAAACCAGGACCUUUACCUUGAAAAAAUUAGUGUGUUCAAAGCAGGCUUAUGUCUGAAUACAUUAGCGUGGAAUAAUAGAAUAGGACGGUGGUCCUGUUUUGUUGGUUUCUGAAUCACCGUAAUGAUUAAUAGGGAUAGUUGGGGGCAUUAGUAUUCAAUUGUCAGAGGUGAAAUUCUUGGAUUUAUUGAAGACUAACUUCUGCGAAAGCAUUUGCCAAGGAUGUUUUCAUUAAUCAAGAACGAAAGUUAGAGGAUCGAAGACGAUCAGAUACCGUCGUAGUCUUAACCAUAAACUAUGCCGACUAGGGAUCGGACGAUGUUAAUUUUUCUUGACUCGUUCGGCGCCUUACGGGAAAC